UUAAACGGAAGAGUUUGAUCCUGGCUCAGGACGAACGCUGGCGGCGUGCCUAACACAUGCAAGUCGAGCGGGGACAUUGCGACGGACAUGAAGUUUUCGGAUGGAUUGAAAGAUGUAAUGUUCUAGCGGCGGACGGGUGAGUAACGCGUGAGCAA
rnacentral:rRNA from 1 species